GCGCACGGGUGCGUAACGCGUAUGCAGCCUACCUUGAACUGGAAGAUAGCCCCGAGAAAUCGGGAUUAAUAUUCCAUAAUGUCCAUUUUUUGCAUAUGAGAUGGAUUAAAGUUACGGCGGUUCAAGAUGGGCAUGCGUGACAUUAGCUAGUUGGUGAGGUAACGGCUCACCAAGGCGACGAUGUCUAGGGGUCCUGAGAGGGUUUCCCCCCACACUGGUACUGAGACACGGACCAGACUCCUACGGAAGGCAGCAGUAAGGAAUAUUGGUCAAUGGACGCAAGUCUGAACCAGCCAUGCCGCGUGCAGGAUGACUGCCCUACGGGUUGUAAACUGCUUUUACGUGAGAAAAAACUCCCCGAUUCGUUCGGGGACUGAUGGUAUCACAUGAAUAAGCAUCGGCUAACUCCGUGCCAGCAGCCGCGGUAAUACGGAGGAUGCAAGCGUUAUCCGGAUUCAUUGGGUUUAAAGGGUGUGCAGGCGGAAUGAUAAGUCAGAGGUGAAAUCCCCCGGCUCAACCGGGGACCUGCCUUUGAUACUGUUGUUCUUGAGUAUAGUUGAAGUGGGCGGAAUGUGUCAUGUAGCGGUGAAAUGCAUAGAUAUGACACAGAACACCGAUAGCGAAGGCAGCUCACUAACCUAUAACUGACGCUCAUGCACGAAAGCGUGGGGAGCAAACAGGAUUAGAUACCCUGGUAGUCCACGCUGUAAACUAUGAUCACUAGUUGUUAGCGAUACACUGUUAGCGACUGAGGGAAACCAUUAAGUGAUCCACCUGGGGAGUACGGCCGCAAGGUUGAAACUCAAAGGAAUUGACGGGGGCCCGCACAAGCGGAGGAGCAUGUGGUUUAAUUCGAUGAUACGCGAGGAACCUUACCUGGGCUUAAGUGCAGGACGACAUCCCGUGAAAACGGGAUUUCUUCGGACGGCCUGCAAGGUGCUGCAUGGUUGUCAUCAGCUCGUGCCGUGAGGUGCCGGGUUAAGUCCCAUAUCGAGCCCAACCCCUAUUAUUAGUUGCCAUCAGGUAAUG
rnacentral:rRNA from 1 species